UUUCCGUAGGUGAACCUGCGGAAGGAUCAUUAUCGUACAAAAUGUGAGGGGCAUGCGAGGGCUGUCGCUGACCCAAAAGUCGUGCACGCCCGAGUGUGUCCUCUUGCAUAAUAAUCCAUCUCACCCUUUGUGCAUCACCGCGUGGGCACCCUUCGGGAUCAUCUCGGAGGGGGGCUCGCGUUUUCACACAAACUUUGUGUGCAGUGUAGAAUGUACUUUUUGUUUUUGCGAUCACGCAAUCAAUACAACUUUCAACAACGGAUCUCUUGGCUCUC
rnacentral:misc_RNA from 1 species